rnacentral:rRNA from 1 species
UGGGGAAUUUUGGACAAUGGGCGCAAGCCUGAUCCAGCNAUGCCGCGUGCAGGAAGAAGGCCUUCGGGUUGUAAACUGCUUUUGUACGGAACGAAAAACUCNNGGUUAAUACCUNGGGGUGAUGACGGUACCGUAAGAAUAAGCACCGGCUAACUACGUGCCAGCAGCCGCGGUAAUACGUAGGGUGCUAAUCGGAAUUACUGGGCGUAAAGCGUGCGCAGGCGGUUUUGUAAGACAGAGGUGAAAUCCCCGGGCUCAACCUGGGAANNGCCUUUGUGACUGCAAGGCUGGAGUGCGGCAGAGGGGGAUGGAAUUCCGCGUGUAGCAGUGAAAUGCGUAGAUAUGCGGAGGAACACCGAUGGCGAAGGCAAUCCCCUGGGCCUGCACUGACGCUCAUGCACGAAAGCGUGGGGAGCAAACAGGAUUAGAUACCCUGGUAGUCCACGCCCUAAACGAUGUCAACUGGUUGUUGGGUCUUAGCUGACUCAGUAACGAAGCCAACGCGUGAAGUUGACCGCCUGGGA